CUGCAACCUGCAUUGUAGUGCAAGUCAAAGAGCAGAGAACAAGCUUCAAUCUACUGAAGCCCAUGGCAGGUCACAUGUCAUAGAUGUCCAAGUCACCACAGCCUGCUCAAAAAUUAAAACUGCCAAAUGCAGUAGAGAAAAUAAUAGAACCACCACCAAUUUUACUGUGAAAGCCCUGCACGGAUGGCUUCAAGAUAACUGCUUAACUGACUACAAAAAAAAAAAAAAAAACUGUCUGCUCUUUAUCAUUAGACACUCUAUCUAACAAACACAUGUGUGAGUCGUACAAAGUCGUCUUUUUGUGUGCCUGUGCUUCUACAAUGUCAACAUUCUUUUUGUACAAUCCCCUGACCUAUAUAUUAAUCUUUUUUGAUCUGUCUGCUAGUUACUCUAUUGCUGGUCAAGAUAGCAGCAAUAAAGUGGGCCUACUGCUAUACUUUGCAAAACAUUUAACAUCAUACAUUUAAAGAGACAGUAAAGAGAAAAAUUAUUUCAGCUGCAUUAGUAAAAUAUGCUUUUACAGUGUCAAAAAAGACACUCUUACCAUGAAAGGAGGCUUGGUAAGCAAGAAAAGAUGCAAACCCGAAAGACAGGUGGUGACGUCACCUUGACGUUGCCGCACCAGAUCAAUGUGACAUCAUAAAUUUUGACAGCAUCUGCUGGGGCCCAGUUAAUUAUUUAUCAGCAAACAUGGACUAGUUUCUAUUCUAAGAAAGCCAAAGAGUGCACCUUAGCAAGCUUUCAAGAACUUUUACUGGGCCACAGCCGCACAAAUGCGAAAAAUACACUUUGAAAUCUGUGACAUCACACUGACAUACUGGCAUAGGGUUCCAGCACGAAAUUUUUAAAUUCGAACUGUGACCUUCACUUUCUUUUCUAGUAAUCAAUCUAGUACCACAAAAUUCAUAGAGUUUUGAAAGAACGCUUUAUCAGUUAUAAUUUACUUACAAUUUCUCUUUAGUGUCAUUUUAGCCAGACUUCUGUUAGCCACAGUUAACCACACUGUUGUUGAGCCACAAUAGCAUUACACCAAUCUCUUGAGAAUAAAUAUGUUGAAAUUAGGGUACCUGAAUAUUUGAAAUUAUAGACAUGAAUCGGAGAGCCUUUCCAGUUCAAGUUGUAUUUGAUUCGAUAAAUAACUAUUCAAAAUUUAUGAAUAUUUGUUUCUGCUGGAGUAAAAGGGAUAACAAAAGUUAUUGGAGCAUCGACGUAGAAGUACUGAUGGAAGUGGGUGGUGUUCUGAUAAUUUUGCUGCAGGAAAGCUUCAGUUGUUGCACAUAACUACGAGGGGGUAC
rnacentral:lncRNA from 1 species